UUUUAGUACACUUUCUUCUAGUAAACUUUGGAUCACAAACUGCUGUUGUGAAUUUAGACCAAUCAGUGCUCCCUGAUUUUCUGGUGGAUGGAAACAAAGUUUUCCCUCCGAGUGUUACAAACCAGCAAGCCUACGCAGAUCUGAGCGGCUGCAGGUCAUCAGGCGUUCUGUUCAGACCUGGAG